rnacentral:rRNA from 1 species
GAUGAACGCUGGCGGCGUGCCUAAUACAUGCAAGUCGAGCGAACAGACGAGGAGCUUGCUCCUCUGACGUCAGCGGCGGACGGGUGAGUAACACGUGGAUAACCUACCUAUAAGACUGGGAUAACUUCGGGAAACCGGAGCUAAUACCGGAUAACAUGUUGAACCGCAUGGUUCAACAGUGAAAGACGGUCUUGCUGUCACUUAUAGAUGGAUCCGCGCCGCAUUAGCUAGUUGGUAAGGUAACGGCUUACCAAGGCAACGAUGCGUAGCCGACCUGAGAGGGUGAUCGGCCACACUGGAACUGAGACACGGUCCAGACUCCUACGGGAGGCAGCAGUAGGGAAUCUUCCGCAAUGGGCGAAAGCCUGACGGAGCAACGCCGCGUGAGUGAAGAAGGUCUUCGGAUCGUAAAACUCUGUUAUUAGGGAAGAACAAAUGUGUAAGUAACUAUGCACGUCUUGACGGUACCUAAUCAGAAAGCCACGGCUAACUACGUG